UGGGGAAUAUUGCACAAUGGGCGCAAGCCUGAUGCAGCAACGCCGCGUGAGGGACGACGGCCUUCGGGUUGUAAACCUCUUUGGCAGGGAAGAAGCGAAAGUGACGGUACCUGCAGAAAAAGCACCGGCUAACUACGUGCCAGCAGCCGCGGUGAUACGUAGGGUGCAAGCGUUGUCCGGAAUUAUUGGGCGUAAAGAGCUCGUAGGCGGUUUGUCGCGUCUGCUGUGAAAACCCGAGGCUCAACCUCGGGCCUGCAGUGGGUACGGGCAAACUAGAGUGCGGUAGGGGAGAUUGGAAUUCCUGGUGUAGCGGUGGAAUGCGCAGAUAUCAGGAGGAACACCGAUGGCGAAGGCAGAUCUCUGGGCCGUAACUGACGCUGAGGAGCGAAAGCAUGGGGAGCGAACA
rnacentral:rRNA from 1 species